AAACCCUAUCCAGCUUCAGAAGCGAAGGGAUUUCAUCGGCUGCCGCUGCUUCAGGCCGUUGUGCGUGCCCGCACACCGCUGAAAUUCGCCGGAGCCGGUCAGUGGCACGGCAGCGGGGAAGGGGGAAGGAGGAGGAGAGGAGAGGAGAGGAGAGGGCAACAAUCCGGAAUUAUCCGCCGCCGCCUCCUUGUCAGCCGUCUUGAGCCUCCUCCUGGUUAGAGCUGCGGCGGAGCUGCCUGAGGAGGGAUGGAUGUAGGGGUGGACCUGUAUGUCGCAGUCCCGCUGCUCUUCACGGUCCUGGCCAUUAUUCUCGCCUCGGUCUUUGUGAAGCUGAGAGCCUCCUCGGAAGGGGACAAAGCUGCGGAGGCAGCGGCGAGCGCCGGGGGAGCGGGGGAGCCGCGCGGCAAAGAGGACGAGGUGAGCGCUGCGGCGGGCGCAGGAGAGCAAACCCGGGAUGGUGACGGCGGAGCGGGGCUCCCGAAAGACGGGCCGGGGCCGGAGCCGGAGGAGGCCAGGGCAGAGGUGAGGUGUGUCCCCGGGGAAGAGACUGGGGCUGCGGAGAAGAAGAAAGGAGCCGAGGGAGACAAGGCAGAGCAGUGCCAGGAGAAGGGGCGCAGGCAGCAGCAGCAGCAGGAGGAGGAGGAGGCUGCCAAGAGGACUGCACAACAGGAACGGCAGAGUCACCCUCAGGAGGAGACGAUCCCCAGUCAGGCUGCGGCUGCGGUCGCUGUUGCUCCGGUGGCCGUAGAAGAAGAGCAAGAGGAGGAGGAGGACGAGGACGAGGAGGACGAGGAGGAGGAGAGCAAGGAAGAAGAUCAAGAAUCAGAAAAUGAAAAACUAGUGGUGAAGGAACCUGAAGCAGAAGAUGGAGUCCACGAAGGGCUAGCGAGAGAUCUCCCAUUGAGGAAGUGGGCUUGUCCAGCAACGCUGGCUGCAGCAGGGCUGCCACAAGACUGCCCUCAGGAACAGCCUUGGCAGAAGUGGAACCCACGCUCACCACGCCUCAGCUCCAGGAACACACCAGAUAUGAACAGUUCUCCUUUAAAUAUAGUCCUGGAAAACUGAGGGGGAACCAGUAUAAAACCAUGAUGACCAAAGAAGAACUUGAAGAGGAACAAAGGCUUCUCCAAACCAUCCUUCUUUCUAGCUGGUUUGUUGGGGCGGGGCUGCCCUCAGAACUGAAGACUAUAUGAAGUUAUCUCUAGACUCUUCCUAAGGCUUUUCCUUUGGCAUCUUUAAAGGCUUGAGAAAAAACAAAACCCCAAACCAACCAGAUAUGCAUACACAGCUGAAAAAUAAAUGACCCCCUCGAAACACAGGGCCACUCUCUUUGGCUGAAGCUGAGUUCCUCAAAAUAACUCUUGGUAAUAUCAAGAUUAGAGAGAAUCUGUGUGUUUGAUCAUGAGAAUAUGGGCUAGAGAGAGUGACAAACUACAUUUUGAGGGUUCUGUUCUUCCAUAUAAAAGACCCUCAAGGAAAACAAUUACACCUUGUUGUGUGAACCACUCCAUAUCUGCUGCUGCAUCCCCAAAACCAUUAAUCUCAUCAGACAGCAUGGACAAAAGUGGCCCAAUUCUAUCAGACCAGUGAACAUAACUCAACAUCUAGUACCUUUCUGCCACUCUGCCCUGGACCCAAAGCUCUCUUGAUGUCUUUGAAGACUGUACAUUGAGAUCUAAAGCACUGUGAAAGUUUCUUUCAUCCCUCGGUGGAGGGGUUGGUUGUUGUGUAAUCUAGACUGGGGUAGGCAAUCUUUUUGGGUCUAUGGGAACAUUAGGCAAUUUGGGAAAUUGUCCUACACACUGCAAAAUGGCUGUGGUGCAAAUAAAACCAUUGGCCUGCAGCUGCCUGCCAUCUUAAUUUCCGAAGGAUGUCUCUGCACCCCUCCUGUUGCCUAGACACAUUCACAGGAAAAGAAGAUGAAAGCAGCUAGACACCCAUUUUGCUCUGAAGGGAUCAUUAACUACUUGCAAGAAUUUUUGUUAUUAAAAAAUUAAUAAAAGGAGGGUUUGGCACCUCAGCGAGCACUAAGACAUGUAUCCGAUGGCAUUCUGGGACACACCGGUGCCACGUUGCUUACCCUGAUCUACCAUAGUCAACCUCGCUUCACAGCCUUUUGAAGAGGAAACACCCAUCCAUCUUAGGUUGAGGGAAGUCCCAAGAAAUAAGAAUGAUUUACAGUGCAAUCCUAGGUGCGUCUACUUACCACUAUGUCCCACUGAAUUCAGUGGGGCCUGCUCCCAGUUAUGGGUAGAGGAUUGCAGCCUUAGUGAAAUGGUUUGUGACUGAUUUUCAUUAUGAGGACUAGAGCUUCAUUAAUGCUCGAUAGCCAGUGCUUCUGUUUUACUUGCUCCUUGCUCUUGUUCCUAAGAAUGGAAUUUGAAAGUAUAAAUUGUCGAAUAGAAGGUGCCCUGUGUGCUAUUCAUUAUGGAUAUCCUGCAUUUCUUUUUUGUCAUAGCACCACACUGCUUUAUCAUUUCCUUUUUUGAAAUCCUCUUUGUUGCUUGCCUCCCUACAACCAAUCCAGCAAUGUACUGAAUCAUUAACCUGUACCGAAAACCGGAUUUGUUGGGUCAUGUGUCAGGAGGCUGAUUUCUAGCUAACAUUUCCUAAUGUUUCAAACCCAGGCUCCUUUUAAAAACAUACACACAGUAUCUUAAUUCUUUGGGAAUACUUGAAAUUAUUUAGUCAAUCAUUCGUUGGAUCUCCUCGGUUUGGGGAAUGUUCUUCUCUAUUAUAUCUCUUUUUAAAGGGCUUGUUUAGGAAAAAGCAGGAAGCUUUGGCUAUAUGUAUAUUUAAAAAGCGAAGCUUCCACUUCUGUAUCUAUUUUCACUAGCAUAAUACCAUUUGCAAUUGAAUUCUAUUUAUAUAAGGACACUCCGCUUUAAAGUUACCUGUUAGCAACCACUCUGCCUCCAAUUCACAUUGUUUGACAGAUUCAGUGUUCCAAACACCAUUAACUAUGCAAAGAUUGCCUUAUAUACAAUAUAAUAUGUCAGUAUACAGCAAUACAUCCAUACAAGGAAUAUGGCUAGUGACAGUGAGCAAAGCUAUCUCCUCAAUAAUGACGAAAAUGGCUGUCUGGAAAUUUUUUACAUUUUUUUUUCUAAAUGUGAAGGUGAAUCUUAUACAUAGGACUGUAAUUUCUAGUGGCUUAUAAUGUAUAUUGCCAUUAUUCAGUCCAAUAAACCUUUAAAUAGUUUGAGAACGGUC